CAGUCGCCACGGGAAUACGUAGGGUGCAAGCGUAAAUCGGAAUUACUGGGCGUAAAGCGUGCGCAGGCGGUUAUAUAAGUCAGAUGUGAAGUCCCCGGGCUCAACCUGGGAACUGCAUUUGAGACUGUAUGGCUAGAGUGUGUCAGAGGAGGGUAGAAUUCCACGUGUAGCAGUGAAAUGCGUAGAUAUGUGGAGGAAUACCGAUGGCGAAGGCAGCCCCCUGGGAUAACACUGACGCUCAUGCACGAAAGCGUGGGGAGCAAACAGGAUUAGAUACCCCGGUAGUCCCUGUCUCUUAUAC
rnacentral:rRNA from 1 species